CAGCCCUCAAGCGCUGCUUGGCGUUGGGCGCGGCCCGCGCGGCCGGCCCCAAAGGCAGUGGCGGCGCCGCCCGGCCCUGAGCGCAGUUACCCUCCCUCGCUCCAGCGCCCGGCGGCGGCCCGCCAGAACCGACCUCGC
rnacentral:misc_RNA from 1 species